rnacentral:rRNA from 1 species
CCUACGGGUGGCAGCAGUGAGGAAUAUUGGUCAAUGGGCGGAAGCCUGAACCAGCCAAGUAGCGUGCAGGAUGACGGCCCUACGGGUUGUAAACUGCUUUUAUACGGGAAUAACGCGCCUUACGUGUAGGGCUUUGCAUGUACCGUAUGAAUAAGGACCGGCUAAUUACGUGCCAGCAGCCGCGGUAAUACGGAAGGUCCGGGCGUUAUCCGGAUGUAUUGGGUUUAAAGGGAGCGUAGGCGGAAUGUUAAGUGUGUUGUGAAAUGUCCGGGCUCAACCCGGGCCUUGCAGGGCAUACUGGCGUACUUGAGUCCACGAGAGGCAGGCGGAAUUCGUGGUGUAGCGGUGAAAUGCUUAGAUAUCACGAAGAACCCCGAUUGCGAAGGCAGCUUGCUGCAGCGGAACUGACGCUGAUGCUCGAAAGCGCGGGUAUCGAACAGGAUUAGAUACCCUAGUAGUC